rnacentral:tRNA from 1 species
GUUUUAAUAGUUUAACUAAAACAUUGGUCUUGUAAAUCAAAAAUAAGAAAAAAUCUUUUAAAACU